rnacentral:rRNA from 1 species
UGGGGAAUAUUGCACAAUGGGCGAAAGCCUGAUGCAGCGACGCCGCGUGAGGGAUGACGGCCUUCGGGUUGUAAACCUCUUUCAGCAGGGACGAAGCGCAAGUGACGGUACCUGCAGAAGAAGCACCGGCUAACUACGUGCCAGCAGCCGCGGUAAUACGUAGGGUGCAAGCGUUGUCCGGAAUUACUGGGCGUAAAGAGUUCGUAGGCGGUUUGUCGCGUCGUUUGUUAAAACCAGCAGCUCAACUGCUGGCUUGCAGGCGAUACUGGCAGACUUGAGUACUGCAGGGGAGACUGGAAUUCCUGGUGUAGCGGUGAAAUGCGCAGAUAUCAGGAGGAACACCGGUGGCGAAGGCGGGUCUCUGGGCAGUAACUGACGCUGAGGAACGAAAGCGUGGGUAGCGAACAGG